rnacentral:sRNA from 1 species
UCACAGUGCAUUCGCUCAGCCGGUCCUG